rnacentral:rRNA from 1 species
UACGUAGGGGGCAAGCGUUGUCCGGAUUUAUUGGGCGUAAAGGGCGCGUAGGCGGAUAGUUCAGUUGGGGGUGAAAGCCCGGGGCUCAACCUCGGAACUGCCUUCAAUACUGGCUAUCUUGAGUACGGGAGAGGUGUGUGGAACUCCGAGUGUAGAGGUGAAAUUCGUAGAUAUUCGGAAGAACACCAGUGGCGAAGGCGACACACUGGCCCGUUACUGACGCUGAGGCGCGAAAGCGUGGGGAGCAAACAGG